rnacentral:rRNA from 1 species
GGCUUAGGACGAACGCUGGCGGCGUCGCUUAACACAUCGCAAGUUCGAACGAUGAAGCCUAGCUUCGCUAGGUCGGAUUAUCGGCGAACGGGCGAGUAAUACGUCGAGUCGACCUACCUUUGACUCUGGGAUAAGCCUGGGAAAACUGGGUUCUAAUACCGGAAUACGAACCAAUCUCCGCAUGGGGUGUUGGUGGAAAGCGUUAUGGAGUGGUUUUUAGAUGGGCUCACGGCCUAUCAGCUUGUUGGUGAGGUAAUGGCUUACCAAGGCGAACGAACGGGUAGCCGGCCUGAGAGGGUGACCGGCCACACUGGGACUGAGACACGGCCCAGACUCCUACGGGAGGCAGCAGUGGGGAAUAUUGCACAAUGGGCGCAAGCCUGAUGCAGCGACGCCGCGUGAGGGAUGACGGCCUUCGGGUUUGUAAACCUCUGUUAGCAUCGAAGAAACGAAAGUUGACGGUAGGUGCAGAGAAAGCCCCGGCCUAACUACGUGCCAGCAGCCGCGGUAAUACGUAGGGCGCGAGCGUGUCCGGAAUUAUUGGGCGUAAAGAGCUUGUAGGCGGUUGGUCGCGUCUGCCUGUGAAAGGCUGGGGCUUAACCCUGGUUUUGCAGUGGGUACGGGCUAACUAGAGUGCAGUAGGGGAGACUGGAAUUCCUGGUGUAGCGGUGGAAUGCGCAGAUAUCAGGAGGAACACCGAUGGCGAAGGCAGGUCUCUGGGCUGUAACUGACGCUGAGAAGCGAAAGCAUGGGGAGCGAACAGGAUUAGAUACCCUGGUAGUCCAUGCCGUAAACGUUGGGCACUAGGUGUGGGGGACAUUCCACGUUUUCCGCGCCGUAGCUAACGCAUUAAGUGCCCCGCCUGGGGAGUACGGCCGCAAGGCUAAAACUCAAAGAAAUUGACGGGGGCCCGCACAAGCGGCGGAGCAUGCGGAUUAAUUCGAUGCAACGCGAAGAACCUUACCAAGGCUUGACAUAUACUGGACUGCGUCAGAGAUGGCGUUUCCCUUCGGGGCUGGUAUACAGGUGGUGCAUGGUUGUCGUCAGCUCGUGUCGUGAGAUGUUGGGUUAAGUCCCGCAACGAGCGCAACCCUCGUUCUAUGUUGCCAGCACGUGAUGGUGGGGACUCAUAGGAGACUGCCGGGGUCAACUCGGAGGAAGGUGGGGAUGACGUCAAAUCAUCAUGCCCCUUAUGUCUUGGGCUUCACGCAUGCUACAAUGGCCGGUACAGAGGGUUGCGAUACUGUGAGGUGGAGCUAAUCCCUAAAAGCCGGUCUCAGUUCGGAUUGGGGUCUGCAAACUCGACCCCAUGAAAGUCGGAGUCGCUAGUAAUCGCAGAAUCAGCAACGCUGCGGUAAAUACGUUCCCGGGCCCUUGUACCCACCGCCCGUCA